rnacentral:lncRNA from 1 species
UCCAGCAUGCGUAAGCCUUUUUUCUUUAAUGGUACUGCAGUGAGUUCAAAUGCAAAAUGUAGGACUAUCCUUCCACCUUCCUCUGUUCUGUUCCUAGACUCAAUUAAAUUGAUCUGUUUGCUAUCUGAUAUAAAAUGUUGCAUGGACGCCAUAUAAUGUGCACUCAAGAUUUGGUCACCAAAUUAUACCCACUUUGUUGUGUUGUCAUUCUUCAAAUUUUGGUUCUUGUAGUUACUUAGUAUUGAC